AUUGAACGCUGGCGGCAGGCCUAACACAUGCAAGUCGAGCGGAGCGGCGGACGGGUGAGUAAUGCCUAGGAAUCUGCCUGGUAAUGGGGGAUAACGUCCGGAAACGGGCGCUAAUACCGCUUACUAUCAGAUGAGCCUAGGUCGGAUUAGCUGGUUGGUGGGUUAAAGGCCUACCAGGGCGACGAACCGUAACUGGUCUGAGCGGAUGAUCAGUCACACGGGAACUGAGACACGGGCCAGACUCCUACGGGGGGCAGCAGUGGGGAAUAUUGGAAAAGGGGGGAAAGCCUGAUCCAGCCAUGCCGCGUGUGUGAAGAAGUUCUUCGGAUUGUAAAGCACUUUAAGUUGGGAGGCGUUACCAACAGAAUAAGCACCGGCUAACUUCGUGCCAGCAGCCGCGGUAAUAC
rnacentral:rRNA from 1 species